rnacentral:rRNA from 2 species
UACGGAGGGGGCCAGCGUUGUUCGGAAUCAUUGGGCGUAAAGGGCGCGUAGGCGGCCGAGCAAGUCGGAUGUGAAAUACCCCGGCUCAACUGGGGAACUGCAUCCGAAACUGCUUGGCUUGAGUCCUGGAGAGGGUAGUGGAAUUCCCAGUGUAGCGGUGAAAUGCGUAGAUACUGGGAGGAACACCGGUGGCGAAGGCGGCUACCUGGACAGGUACUGACGCUGAGGCGCGAAAGCUAGGGGAGCAAACAGG